rnacentral:rRNA from 1 species
UACGUAGGGUGCAAGCGUUAAUCGGAAUUACUGGGCGUAAAGCGUGCGCAGGCGGUUUUGUAAGUCAGAUGUGAAAUCCCCCGGGCUUAACCUGGGAACUGCGUUUGAAACUACAAGGCUAGAGUGUGGCAGAGGGGGGGUGGAAUUCCACGUGUAGCAGUGAAAUGCGUAGAGAUGUGGAGGAACACCGAUGGCGAAGGCAGCCCCCCUGGGUUAACACUGACGCUCAGGCACGAAAAGCGUGGGGAGCAAACAGG